GACAGAGGGGGCAAGCGUUGCUCGGAAUUACUGGGCGUAAAGGGCGCGUAGGCGGGAUGGCAAGUCGGUCGUGAAAUCCCUCGGCUCAACCGAGGAACGUCGAUCGAUACUGCUGUUCUUGAGGAUUGCAGAGGAGACUGGAAUUCCCGGUGUAGCGGUGAAAUGUGUAGAGAUCGGGAGGAACACCGGUGGCGAAGGCGGCAUCCUGGACCGAUACUGACGCUGAGGAGCGAAAGCCAGGGGAGCAAACGGG
rnacentral:rRNA from 1 species